rnacentral:rRNA from 1 species
UGGGGAAUAUUGGACAAUGGGCGGAAGCCUGAUCCAGCAACGCCGCGUGAGGGAUGACGGCCUUCGGGUUGUAAACCUCUUUCAGUACCGACGAAGCGGAAGUGACGGUAGGUACAGAAGAAGCACCGGCCAACUACGUGCCAGCAGCCGCGGUAAUACGUAGGGUGCGAGCGUUGUCCGGAAUUAUUGGGCGUAAAGGGCUCGUAGGCGGUUUGUCGCGUCGGGAGUGAAAACACUGGGCUUAACUCAGUGCUUGCUUCCGAUACGGGCAGACUAGAGGCAUGCAGGGGAGAACGGAAUUCCUGGUGUAGCGGUGAAAUGCGCAGAUAUCAGGAGGAACACCGGUGGCGAAGGCGGUUCUCUGGGCAUGCCCUGACGCUGAGGAGCGAAAGUGUGGGGAGCGAACAGGAUUAGGUACCCUGGUAGUCCACACCGUAAACGUUGGGCGCUAGGUGUGGGGCCUAUUCCAUGGGUUCCGUGCCGCAGCUAACGCAUUAAGCGCCCCGCCUGGGGAGUACGGCCGCAA